rnacentral:lncRNA from 1 species
AGUGAGCCCCAGAUCCAGGGACUAAGGCAGCAGGGGUGAAAGCAGGCAGCAGGAAGUACCUCACCUUUCAGGAUGGGGGCCGCCAUGACAGACGGCGGGAUCCGGCCAGCUGGCCUACGCGGUGCUUGCGAGCCUGGCGGCGCGCGCGGGCACUGGGCAUGCGCGGGGUGAGCGCGCCGCCGUCACCGCGCUCCGCUGAAUCCGCGUUUCCGGGAUUUCUCUGUAGGUGAGGCGGGAGGCUGGAGGGAGCUGAGCCCCCGGGGAGGGGGCCCGAUUCCGCCUCGCCGCGCCUCUGGCUGCUGGGCCGUGGGUUUUUCUCUUCUCCUGGGAGUAAGGAGGACGACGGCCCCUAACCCCUGAAUUAGCCUUCUAUUUCCAUUAGUGACUUAGAAGCUACCCGGCGCCUCAUCUGGGCUCACCUGAGCUGAGGAUCAGGAAGGGGAGGGGGCACAGUCAUUCCCUCGCGGACGCGGCGGGACCCCAGCGGACGGCUUUGUGCGGACUUUCGGCACCGUUAUGCCCCCCUAGCCCGACACCACCUGGGGCUGGCGCGCCACGUUACUGUUCAGGGCCAGACGCACCGCCCUGCCUGCUCCGGGGAGCCGGACCUCCGAUCCCGGGGAUGGGGGACCCCGAGACCUCAGACCCAACGGAGGGGACUCUGAUACCUCAGACCCCACGCGGGGACCCCGAGGCUUCAGACCCCCACAGGGUGACCCCGAGAUCUCAGACCCCCGCAGGAGUACCUCCAGACCUCAAAUCCCCAGUAAGGGAAUGAAAGAGACUUCGGAUCCCUGAGGCAGCAAAUCCCUGUAGGGGCAUCCCAGGACUCAGGUCACCGCGGGGUGAACCCAGACCUCACAUUCAGGCAAUCCCCAGGACGCCGAUCGGCUGGCACUACCCACUGUCCCGGCCACCCCCCCUGGAGCUCAAAGGCUUGGCCCUCCAGCUGCUCCACCCUGCCGGCAACCAGGCUCAAACCUGCAGCCCGCGGAUCCCCUGCCCCGGAAGCAACCAGAUUCGCGGGAGGUUACCUGACUGAUCCAAGGUGAUACAGCUGGUAACUGAUGGAGAUGUUGGUAGUGAAAUUCAUGUACUUUUAGUUCUUUCUAUGGAAUCUAGAGGUAGAAUACAUGUAAAAGAAUAUCGACUACCGUCUACUCAGGCAGUUUCUCACUCCGUUGCCCAGGCUGGAAUGCAGUGGUGUAAUCACAGCUCACUGCAGCCUCAACCUACUGGACUCAAAGGAUAAGAUCUGCUUUUAAUUAAUUUUUGUAUACGGAAUAUAAAUGGUUGGAGAAGACAGACAAAGAGAACCGCUCUUCUGUAACAACGGGAAGGUGAAACCCCUUUUUGGACUGGCAAUGGUGAAAUCUAAGCAUGGCUCCAAUUUGAGUAGGGGACACGGAUACUGUUGACCUCUUUGCUGAAGGGGAGAA